GAGAAGUCAGGGCAGCGCGAGGGCAGCUGCCCCAGCGAAGGUCACUGCGCAUGCUCGGUUCGGCAGCGCAUGCUCAGUUGCGCCCAAAGCAGGGAGGUGGGGGAGGGAGUUUUCCCUGUCGUUGGUGGCCGCGAGGGGAGCGUCCAGCAUGAGGCAGAAGAAGAAAGGAGACCUCAGCCAUGCAGAGCUGAUGAUGAUGACAAUAGCUGAUAUCAUUAAACAGCUGAUUGAGGCUCAUGAGCAGGGAAGAGAUGUGAAUCUAAAUAAGCUUCUCCGAGGAAGAGGAGACACAGAAAGAAAAAGAAGAAACCGAAAGCUUUUGGACACUGCGAGGAAGAGUUGGAGGAGGCUUGUGCAUCCCUAGAGACAUGGUUGCACAGUGUCUGACUUGCCAGAAAGAGGGAAAGGAAUUAAAUCUGGAUACUACCUUGAAAAGCAUAAAGUUUAACCUGUAUAUUUGUGAAAGAUUGGGAAUAAAACGUAGCUUCACCAGCCCGUACCACCCACAAACCAAUGGCUUGGCUGAAAAUGCUAAUAAAUCCAUCAAAAGAUCCCAGAUAUGAAUACAUUCGGGGAAGAUUUCUGCAAAGAGUACAGCAUAAAUAUGAAAUUGAGACAUGAUGCUGACAUUGCUCUGGCUCUAAGUAAUAUUUCUAAAGCACAAGAAAAACAACAAAGACAUUAUGCUAAAAGAAAGACUUCUAAAUAUGGGGAAAUAACAUUUGAUGUUGGGGACUGUGUUCUGCUACUGAAUUCUAGAAAGAGAACAGGAAAAGGAGAAAUGGUGCAACCUACCUAUCGGGGACCAUACAAAAUUAUGACUGUUGAGGGUGAGAGUGAAAUUACAAACCAUCUAAUGGAAAUUGUUAGGAACCGUGUAUAGCAUCGCACACUUAAAACCAUUUAAAGAGCCACCAACAUUAGCUGCUGAAAGCGCAUCCGAUGUUUUUCUCUGAACUGAAAUUUCAGUUGGUGACAAUGAACCAGAAACACACUCAGAGUGCCAUCCACUUUUCUAAUGUCUUCUAUCUCACAAGUCUCAUGACAGCACAGUGAAAAACAUAGAGGUCACAGCAACAGAAGAAGAGGAGUAUGUAGGGCAAGAUGUUUCAAGCAAUGAUACAAGUGAUGCUGAUGACAAUUUUGAUAUGUUUAUGGAGGAGGUGGAAGACAAGCAAUGGAUUCUGAAAGUCAAACUUGUAAUGACCGGCAAACACACAGAGACUAGAGGCCAAAGUGAGAAAAAUCAAAUUGUAUGGCUCUUCAUUUCAUUGCCUGAAACCAAGAAGCUGGGUUAUUGGUGCAUAUUUGAGCCGUGUGGUCGAGAAAGCAGAUGGAAAGAGAGAAUGGAUUUGUAUGUAUGUCCAGAAACUGAAGGAAAAGAAGAAAAGCUCAUUUAUGCAGUCCGCUAAGGUACUCUCUAAAAAUUUCAGAUAGUUCAUCAAACGAUUAACUAACAAAUCCUCAUCUGAUUGGAAGAGUAAAAUUGUUCAGCAUCCCAGACAAAGUGAUGGCCACAACUGUGGACCACUCAUCUUAAAGAAGUUAGUUUGCAGAAACCUAUUUCCAGCAGAAAGACAUCAGUAUGGUAGAAACAACACAAGAGGCUAAUACUGCGUUUAGAAGACAAAGAGCAAUUGUUCUAAUGAAGGAGUCAGAAAGUGUGGAGGACUACUGCAUAUACUGCAACUUUGUCAUUUGUGAAAAGGAAAGUGAGGAUUGCACGAUGGUCCAGUGUGAUUCUUGCAAGAGGUGGGCACAUAUGCCCUGCAUUACAGAAGGAACCAAUCAAGAAAACCUGACUGAUGAGAAGAAAGAAUACAAGUGUAAAAAGUGUGCAUAGUUCACUUCUUUACCAAAAAAUAACAUUGUUUAAAUGCUUGUUGUUCAAAACAUCAUGGAACUAAAGGAAAACUCUUUCUUUAUAUACCAGAUUAUAAUAAAAAAAAUAUUCUCUGUAUUUGUGUCCCAACUAGUUGCAAAAGAGGAGGGUUGCUCUUUGUGCCACUACACUAGACCACCCCACCAGACAACUGAGGCGAGCAGCUCCCACCGUAAAGCAACACCAUCUCCGACCGCUCCGUCGUAAAAGGCCAUGCCCCCUCGCCAUGCUACCGCAAAGCAAUGCCGGGCUUAAGGUGCAUGUGUAGCAGCUACUGCCGCUCUGGCUCCUGACACGGGCAAACCAGCUGUUCUAGUUAUGGCUGAUCGCUCUGCUGGAGAAGCACGGUGUGGCCCGCCUAGAACAUCCCCGCUAGACCGCAAAGCCCAGCGAGGCAGCAACAUCCCAUC